AGAGUUUGAUCAUGGCUCAGAACGAACGUUAGCGGCGCGCUUAACACAUGCAAGUCGUACGAGAAAGGGCUUCGGCCCCGGUACAGUGGCGCACGGGUGAGUAACACGUAGGUAACCUACCCUCGAGUGGUGGAUAACCCUCCGAAAGGAGAGCUAAUACAGCAUAAGACCACGGCAUUCCGAUGCUGCGGAAAAAGCGGGCCUCUCUAUAGAAGCUCGUGCUCGAGGAUGGGCCUGCGGCCCAUCAGCUAGUUGGUGAGGUAAUGGCCCACCAAGGCAAAGACGGGUAGCUGGUCUGAGAGGAUGAACAGCCACACUGGAACUGAGACACGGUCCAGACUCCUACGGGAGGCAGCAGUGGGGAAUCUUGCGCAAUGGGCGAAAGCCUGACGCAGCGACGCCGCGUGAGCGAUGAAGGCCCUCGGGUUGUAAAGCUCUGUGGGGAGGGAAGAAUAAGCCUAGGCUAAUACCUCUAGGUGAUGACGGUACCUCCUUAGCAAGCACCGGCUAACUCUGUGCCAGCAGCCGCGGUAAGACAGAGGGUGCAAACGUUGUUCGGAAUUACUGGGCGUAAAGCGCGUGUAGGCGGCUAUGCAAGUCGGGCGUGAAAGCCCACGGCUCAACCGUGGAAGUGCACUCGAAACUGCGUAGCUAGAGUCCCGGAGAGGAAGGUGGAAUACUUGGUGUAGAGGUGAAAUUCGUAGAUAUCAAGUGGAACACCGGUGGCGAAGGCGGCCUUCUGGACGGUGACUGACGCUGAGACGCGAAAGCGUGGGGAGCAAACAGGAUUAGAUACCCUAGUAGUCC
rnacentral:rRNA from 1 species